rnacentral:rRNA from 1 species
CCUACGGGGGGCAACAGUGGGGAAUAUUGGACAAUGGGGGGAACCCUGAUCCAGCCAUGCCGCGGGUGUGAAGAAGGCCCUCGGGUUGUAAAGCACUUUCAGUGAGGAAGAACGCCUGGUGGUUAAUACCCAUCAGGAAAGACAUCACUCACAGAAGAAGCACCGGCUAACUCCGUGCCAGCAGCCGCGGUAAUACGGAGGGUGCGAGCGUUAAUCGGAAUUACUGGGCGUAAAGCGCGCGUAGGUGGCUUGAUAAGCCGGUUGUGAAGGCCCCGGGCUCAACCUGGGAACGGCAUCCGGAACUGUCAAGCUAGAGUGCAGGAGAGGAAGGUAGAAUUCCCGGUGUAGCGGUGAAAUGCGUAGAGAUCGGGAGGAAUACCAGUGGCGAAGGCGGCCUUCUGGACUGACACUGACACUGAGGUGCGAAAGCGUGGGUAGCAAACAGGAUUAGAUACCCGAGUAGUC